UUGGAAUGUGUCUAUCCCAUGCUACAAGGUAAAAUAUAAAUUUGUUUUAUAAUUGUAAAAAUGCCUGCUCUGAACAUGUGAACUCAGACAAGAAGAGUGGCUCCUUCCACCCAUCGAGGAGGGCUAUCAAAAAGUAAAUGAGCCAUUGUAGGGCAAAAGUUUUGUUGAUUGCCCCAUCCACCCAUGGAGAAGCACAUGCAGAAGGCCUUGGCCAUCAGUUUGAAUGCCAGAAGAGGGAACUAAAAAUAGCGAAUGAAGAUUUUCCAUCUCUUUGCUGUUUGGACUCUCAGAUGGACUGGAGCUAAGAAACAAAUAGCAGAGAUCCCCAGAGUCAACCUGGGUUAAGUCCUAAAGAGAUAUUCAAUACUGAAGGAUUGCUAUGUCUGUCACUUUUUGAAUGAAACAAACUCAUUUAUGCAUAUAUGUUUACUUACUUUAACCUGUAAAUAAUUCUCUUGUUUCUUUUUCCUAGUUAACAAACCAUUAGUUAGUUACAGGAUUGGCUACAGGUGUUGUCUUUGGUGUGAGAUCUAAGGUACAAAUUGAUCUGAGUGCAUGGAACAACGGGAUCCAAAUCUCAGUUGGGACCUCUAGGAAUACAGUACGACUAACAUGGCUGCUACUCUGAAACCUACAAGAGAAAGUUAUUCCUGCUGUACUUCCAGUCCCACUGCAGACUCAAGGCUCCACAGAAAAGUCAUCUUCAAGCCAGGGCCGGCUCUAAGUUUUUUGCCGCCCCAAGCAGCAAAAAGAACAAACAAAAAAAACCUGCUGAAUAUGCCACCACCAGAGAGAACAGGAACGUUGGAGGGAGCUGCCGCCGAAUUGCCGCCUAUGGUGAGACCCAAGUCAGAAGAGUCGCCACCGAAUUACCGCUGUGGGAAACAAUGGAGGGGUGCUGCUGCUGAAUUGCAGCCAGGGCUGCUGCCGGAGUGUCACCCCAAGAACAGCCGGAGUGACGCCCCAAGAACAGCCGGAGAGCCGCCCCUUCAGCAGCACCACCCCAGGCACCAGCUUGCUUAGCUGGUGCCUAGAGCCGGCCCUGCUUCAAGCACAUUUUAUAACAUACAUAAAUACAUACAUAACACACAUACUCAACUUUAUUGCUGGGGAAAGAUGCCAGAGAGCUUAACCCAGAGUGUGAGGUUUUGUAUUUAUCCAUAAAACAGGAACAGCAGUGAGACCUUCCUUUGCCUGGAGUGAUAACUUACAAGUGCUCCUUAUGCUUUCCAGCUGUGGUGCCUAUCAACACCAGCUGUUUUUGACACCAAAACGCACCUGCUGGGAAUUGGACUGAGACACCCAGAACUCUUUGCCCAGAGGCCACUGAACAGUCAUUGCAUAACAAUAAUUGGUCGCUACCAAUUUGCGAUGGAGGUGACCCACAAUCUGGAUAUGAAAGGAGCCACCACUCCUUACUAGUCCCCUGAGCCAUCCAACUCCCCAGAAUACAAUAACUCAGGAAUGUCUAUCCAAGAGGAACCUCUGAACUUUUGGAAUCAUAGUCUGUGGUGUGAAUGGUGCAUAUAUCGACCCUCAGUUAAUAAUGUCAUGUGGCGGGUUGGGCUAGACCAGUGCCCUUCACUCAGGAUAAAUGUAACAAGUAAGCUCCUUUACGAAACAGAUCACUGAAACAAUAGGAGCUACCACUCAAAACACAAGCCAUGCAGGGUCAGUCAGAAACUGAGCUAGGUGGGUGGAGAUGUUUUGCUGCGUGUUAUUGGGUGGAGAGAGCGCUUGUCGAAACAGAUGGGACAGAAGGCAGCAAGGAAGCACCAGAUGCAGCCCGUGAAGUACUAGGAGCAUGACUUUGAGAAAAAGCUGAGAGAGCUAUCAGGUUCAGUACUGGCUGGACAGGGGCUUAAGCAACAGUGAGCACAGAAACUGCCUCUUGCCGUGUGAGUCCGACUGUGUUCAGUGAAACAGGACUCGGCGGUUUGGAAAAAAAAUAGUUCUGAAAGAUUUUGUUCAGAUUGAACAUCUGAAUUUUAUUAUAGAUCACAGAGACCCCAGCUGAGACCAGGCCCCCGUUAUGCUAGGAGCUGUAAAGACACAAAGUAAGAGACAGUGCCCCAAAGGACUCGCAGUGGAACCAGACUAGAAAUAGGAGUGGAAAUGACUUGCCUAUAGGCACAGAGCAGGUCAGUGGCAGAUCCAGGAGUAAAACCCUAGUCUGCCUAUUCCUAGACCAGUCCCAUCUCUCCACAGGACCAUGAACUGAUGGAGUUGAAUUCCUGGCUGGUUUAUAUCCUGAUGUAGAAAGAUGGGUUAACUUUAUAAAGAAAGGGAAUGGUGGAAAUAAAUCAUGGAAUCCUUCCUUUUUCUGGUUCCUAGAGGGGACCAGGAAGUGUUGUAGGAAGAACUUAAUACAAUGAGGGAUGGCUGGAUAAGAGUAAGAGCUCUCUGUGCAAAAGCACACAUCUAUUACCUCUCUGCACAUGCAGCAGAAUGAGGCAGAGUAGCAGUGAGACCGCAGCAAUAUAAUGAUGCAUCACAAAUGUAUUUUCCCCAGAGAGAAACACCUCCCAGGCAGCAGGCCGCGUUCUCCCCCAGCUUGCAGAAUGAAAAGUGCAUGCGUCAUUUCAAAGUGGUGGCUCUUACUGGGGUGACAGAACUGAGUUUCUACGCGAAGAGGAAGAACUGUAGAAAGAACUAUGGAAACGCAUCCCAAGGUUGAAUUCUGGAACAGCGGCAUACCCUUGGACUGGGUGAGCACCCUUCAGUAGGUGUUCAGGGACUCGAGUGAUGAGGGCCAGGUAAGUAGAUGAUAGAUAGCUGUAGCUAGUUCUUCCUUCAUGCUGUGUAAUUUCCGGAGAGACAGUUCCGGCAAGCAUGGCUCCUGUAGGAACAAUACAUAUAAUAGAUAUACCCCUGAUCCUUCCUUAAACCUUGAUCCUCACAUGCACCAUCAACACUUUUGGUGGUGUGGUUAGGGGGAUAGAGGAAGGUAGGCAGGGCCCAUAGCUGUAGGCAAACCUAGCUUAAGACAUCACAUUAACAUUUAACAGCCUAAGUCAGGUCCAUUGAGCUCAGCAGUAAUUAAAGCACAUUUGACACUACCCCAAGAUGAUACCCAGAAACACAGACCAAUGGAAUUGAUUGACCAGAGAGGCUCUUCCCCAUCCCCCAGAGCUUGGCAGCAAAGUCUAUGCGAAUUAGGCAUCUAGUAUAUAGCAUCUCUCUAUAUAGCCAACCCCCAAAGGCCUAUCCACCAUAUUAAAAAUGAAUUGCUAUUUUGUGCAGGUGUGUGCGAAUAACGGAAACAGUCAGAAGUCCUUUAUUCGGUCCCUCGUUACUGUGUGCCACCCUCUGCAGGGAAAUAUUCACCGCAGCAUUAAAUUUUAUGGCUAUAAUGACUAAAGGUCCCUACUGAGAUCCGGGCUCAUUGUGCUAGGUACUGUACAGAGAGACAGUCCCCACGCUGAAGAGCUUACUGCUCUACUAAACAAGACAGGCAGCGGGUGGGAGGAAGACAUGCAAGCAGAAGGAAUA